UGCCAGCCGCCGCGGUAAUACGGAGGGGGUUAGCGUUGUUCGGAAUUACUGGGCGUAAAGCGCACGUAGGCGGACUGGAAAGUUGGGGGUGAAAUCCCAGGGCUCAACCCCGGAACUGCCUCUAAUACUGCUAGUCUUGAGUUCAAGAGAGGUGAGUGGAAUUCCGAGUGUAGGGGUGAAAUCCGUAGAUAUUCGGAGGAACACCAGUGGCGAAGGCGGCUUUCUGGACCGAUACUGACGCUGAGACGCGAAAGCGUGGGGAGCAAACAGGAUUAGAUA
rnacentral:rRNA from 1 species